UGCCCUUCGCUGGCUGCACACGGCUGUGUGCAGGGACCGGAUGUGUGUAGCAGGGACCGGAUGAGCUGCUAAGGAGGGGGUGGCUGGCUGUGGUCUGUGUUUCCUGCUGACCUCUGCAGGUCGGGGACUCCCAGAAUCCUCCAGGCCUGGGCUAUCUCUUCCUCCUCAAACAAACGGCCCUAGGCUUCCUGCUCUUACUGAAUCCAUGCAUGCAUUUUUUCCAUCUUUUAGUCUUUGACAAGCUAAGGAUGGUUGCCCAUUAGUGGGUUAUGAAAUGCCACCAAUGCCAAGACUAUCUGUGGCUUUCAAUUUUCUUUUGUAUAAUAAGCUAUCUUUUGAGCCGGCGCCGUGGCUCAAUAGGCUAAUCCUCCACCUUGCGGCGCCGGCACACCGGGUUCUAGUCCCGGUCGGGGCACCGGAUUCUGUCCCAGUUGCCCCUCUUCCAGGCCAGCUCUCUGCUAUGGCCAGGGAGUGCAGUGGAGGAUGGCCCAGGUGCUUGGGCCCUGCACCCCAUGGGAGACCAGGAAAAGCACCCGGAUCCUGGCUCCUGCCAUCGGAUCAGCGCGGUGCGCCGGCUGCAGCGGCGGCCAUUGGAGGGUGAACCAACGGCAAAGGAAGACCUUUCUCUCUCUGUCUCUCUCUCUCACUGUCCACUCUGCCUAUCAAAAAUAAAAAAAAAAAAAAUAAAAUAAAAAAAAAAAUAAGCUAUCUUUUGAUUCCACGUUCCCACAAACUUUUGAAAGUGUCCUUGUGUAUGUGAGCUCUUAGACCAAUGGUAUAAGUGGCAAAACAGAGAAAGAUGGAAUCACAUAACAUGUGAUUCCAAUAUCUAUUGCAUCCCAAGCGCUGUGCUAGCUCCUGGGAACACACUAUGGAUCUAUGGCUUUCUACUCAAGGAGCUCACGGUUCUGUAGGAAAUAAGCACAUAGAAGCAAAUAAUGAAAGUAAAAUAUACUACGAAUGCUAACAGCAUAUACUAGAUACGUACUAUGUAAUGGGUGCUGUCAUAGCAUUUUAAUAUGCAUCAUCUUACAUAAGCAUAAUGAUCCUUGGGGGAUAGGGCUAUCAUUACUCUUAUUUUACCAGAAAACAGAGAUUCAGUAUGGUUAGGUCAGGAAGCUGGUCAGUGGCAAGUGGUGUAUCAGGAAUGUUUUAAAAAUGGUGGGGGACUUAAAAUGAGUGGCUGCCUCUUGGAAACAGAAAAAAAGGUGGCGGGUCAUGUUAUUCCCAGUUCUGGACAUCAGGUGGCGAUGUCAACCCACGGCAGCUUGGUUGCUGGGCUGCUUGGAGGCACCCGCACGGCACAGUAUAAUACACAGUAUAAUAUCUUGUAAUUGGUUCUGACCUGCUCGGGCUGGGAGUGUGUGUUUUUCUGGUGCUUCUCUGCCAGCUGGCUUUCUCUUGGUGUGUACUGGCUGGGGAAUCAGAAACGGGAAGCGGGGAGAUUUCUGCUGUUGAAGGGGGAACAGAGCUCAGAGAGAUGCCAGAUUCUGGUACCCCAGGCCGACGCAGUACUUCAUGUGCAGUGCUAGCCCUGGGGGCGGUGGCCCCUCUUUGAUAAAGCCAGAAAUGACCUCCUCCAAUUCAGCCGUCAGUGGAGGCUCAGGGGUACUAGCCCAGGCUAGUUAUCGUCUCUUCCUCUUUUUCUCUGAUUGCUCUCCCGUCUAUCCCUAACCCUUAUACUGGAUUCCUUUGUUAGUGAUGCCAUUGCUUCCUGAAACAUGGGGUGGGUGGGAAACGAGGAAUGAGAAUCUGUCUACUUCUGUGUCUGCAAAAGACAUUGGUCAGUCAGCCUUAAUCCUAGGGGUCUAGGGGCGUCCUCGAAUGAUAUUCAUUAAUUAUCAUUAUUAACAGCACAACAAUGCAUUGAAGAUGGUUAGUCCAUGCUUGGAUGCCAGGUAAUUGGCGCUAAGACUUCCCUUGGAACUUCUGUGUUCUGAUUUGUCCUGAGGGGAUGCGGGUAUUUGGUAGAGCAGUGAAGACACUCCCGUAUCCGAGUGCCUGGGUUGCAAUCCUGGUUCUUCUUUGAUUGCAGCUUUCUGCUAAUGUGCACUGCUGGAGGUAGAAGGUGAUGGUGCACACACUUGGGUCUCCACCACCCAUGUGGAAGAUCCAGGUUGAAUUCCAGGCCUGACCCAGCCCCAGCUUUUGCAGCCUCACUUGGAGAUGAAGCGAAGAGCUCCGUCAGUCAUCCUGCAGAGGAGAAAACUAGGCCAUCGUCGCCCAGAGCAUGCACCUGUCCUAGAUUUGAGGGCUGCACACGUCCUGUUGGCUUUUGGGUUUCAGAGGGACAACCUGUUGACACCGCUUCACCCCCGAGUGCCUUGGAAGGCGAUGAAGGUGUGGACGGGUUCUUCAUGCAGCCAGCUGCUCGGGAUCUGGUGCUGAUACAUCCAGCGUCUCCUCCUCCAACUCCCACUGGAGGAGGAGAAUCCCACCUCCUGCCCAGCGUGGGUCCUCUCCUUUCCCUCCAGCCGAGCAACCAGCCUGGUCCUUACCACACUGGUCCCGAGUCAGCUGUUGAAGAUCCGCCUUUCCCCGACCAGGCAGUGGGUGUUUCAGUCCCAGGGGCCCCCUCCACAGAGUCGUGGGACGCUGGGUGCUGUAUUCCUCUUACACGGUGGCAUUUGCAUUUUCCUAAUUGUACCUAUUUACAUAGAUCAUAAUGCUCCCGGAACACUAGUCAAGGAAACUUCAAAACUUUAUGCAAGACGUGUAUUAUGAAAACACUAUGUUGGGGUUCGUGCUGUGGCAUAGCAGGGAAAGCCGCUGCCUGCAAUGGUGGCAUCCUGUGUGGGCACUGGCUGUUCCACUUCUGAUCUAGCUCUCUGCUAUGCCUGGGAAAUCAGUAGAAGAUGGGCCUUGUCCUUGGGCACCUGCACCGGCGUGGGAGACCCAGAGGAAGCUCCUGGCUCCUGGCUUUGGAUCUGCACAGUGCUGGCUGUUGCGGCCACCUGGGGAGUCAACCAGUGGAUGGAAGACCUCUCUCUGUCUCUGCCUCUGCCUCUCUGUAACUCUGCCUUUCAACAAAUAAAUAAAUCUUAAAAAAAAAAAAACCAUACUAUGCAUGGAUCUCUUUUCUUUUACACAACAAAAUAAGCUUUUCUUUUAAUUUAACUUUCCACAAACUUCUUGAAAUACUUUCCUAAUUUAAUCUUAGGCAAGAUCCAUAUCAGAUUGAACUUCUUGAAUACAAGCAAUAAGAAAUCAGUUGUU